AGCAGCCGCGGUAAUUCCAGCUCCAAUAGCGUAUAUUAAAGUUGUUGCAGUUAAAAAGCUCGUAGUUGAAUUUCGGGAUCAAUAUGUCGGUCGUGCCUUCGGUACGUACUGGUAUCAUUGGUCUCUCCUUUCUGACGAACCAUGAUGUCAUUAAUUUGGUGUUAUGGGGAGUUAGGACUGUUACUUUGAAAAAAUUAGAGUGUUUAAAGCAGGCUUUAGCUUGAAUACAUUAGCAUGGAAUAAUGAAAUAGGACGUUCGAACCUAUUUUGUUGGUUUCUAGGAUCAACGUAAUGAUUAAUAGGGAUAGUUGGGGGCAUUAGUAUUCAAUUGUCAGAGGUGAAAUUCUUGGAUUUAUUGAAGACUAACUACUGCGAAAGCAUUUGCCAAGGAUGUUUUCAUUAAUCAAGAACGAAAGUUAGGGGAUCGAAGACGAUCAGAUACCGUCGUAGUCUUAACCAUAAACUAUGCCGACUAGGGAUCGGAUGAUGUUAAUUUUUAAUGACUCAUUCGGCGCCUUAC
rnacentral:ncRNA from 2 species